rnacentral:rRNA from 1 species
GAUGAACGCUGGCGGCGUGCCUAAUACGUGCAAGUCGAGCGAAUGGAUUAAGAGCUUGCUCUUAUGAAGUUAGCGGCGGACGGGUGAGUAACACGUGGGUAACCUGCCCAUAAGACUGGGAUAACUCCGGGAAACCGGGGCUAAUACCGGAUAACAUCUUGAACCGCAUGGUUCGAAAUUGAAAGGCGGCUUCGGCCGUCACUUAUGGAUGGACCCGAGUCGCAUUAGCUAGUUGGUGAGGUAACGGCUCACCAAGGCAACGAUGCGUAGCCGACCUGAGAGGGUGAUCGGCCACACUGGGACUGAGACACGGCCCAGACUCCUACGGGAGGCAGCAGUAGGGAAUCUUCCGCAAUGGACGAAAGUCUGACGGAGCAACGCCGCGUGAGUGAUGAAGGCUUUCGGGUCGUAAAACUCUGUUGUUAGGGAAGAACAAGUGCUAGUUGAAUAAGCUGGCACCUUGACGGUACCUAACCAGAAAGCCACGGCUAACUACGUGCCAGCCGCCGCGGUAA